rnacentral:rRNA from 1 species
GUGGGGAAUAUUGCGCAAUGGCCGCAAGGCUGACGCAGCGACGCCGUGUGUGGGAUGAAGGCCCUCGGGUUGUAAACCACUGUCAGGAGGGACGAAUACUCGGCUUCAAAUAGUUGACCGAGGGUGACGGUACCUCCAGAGGAAGCACCGGCUAACUCAGUGCCAGCAGCCGCGGUAAUACUGAGGGUGCUAGCGUUGUCCGGAAUCACUGGGCGUAAAGCGCGCGUAGGCGGUUCUGUAAGUCGCUUGUGAAAUCCCGGGGCUCAACCCCGGGGCUGCAGGCGAUACUGCAAGACUAGAGCUCGGUAGAGGCAAGUGGAAUUCCCGGUGUAGCGGUGGAAUGCGUAGAUAUCGGGAAGAACACCGGUGGCGAAGGCGGCUUGCUGGGCCGAUGCUGACGCUGAGGUGCGAAAGCGUGGGGAGCAAACAGG